rnacentral:rRNA from 1 species
UUAUACCGUGAAACUGCGAAUGGCUCAUUAAAUCAGUUAUCGUUUAUUUGAUAGUACCUUACUACUUGGAUAACCGUGGUAAUUCUAGAGCUAAUACAUGCUAAAAACCCCAACUUCGGGAGGGGUGUAUUUAUUAGAUAAAAAACCAAUGCCCUUCGGGGCUCCUUGGUGAUUCAUGAUAACUUCUCAGAUCGCAUGGCUUUACGCCGGCGACGGUUCAUUCAAAUUUCUGCCCUAUCAACUUUCGAUGGUAAGGUAUUGGCUUACCAUGGUUUCAACGGGUAACGGGGAAUUAGGGUUCGAUUCCGGAGAGGGAGCCUGAGAAACGGCUACCACAUCCAAGGAAGGCAGCAGGCGCGCAAAUUACCCAAUUCCGAUACGGAGAGGUAGUGACAAUAAAUACUGAUACAGGGCUCUUUUGGGUCUUGUAAUUGGAAUGAGUACAAUUUAAACCUCUUAACGAGGAACAAUUGGAGGGCAAGUCUGGUGCCAGCAGCCGCGGUAAUUCCAGCUCCAAUAGCGUAUAUUAAAGUUGUUGCAGUUAAAAAGCUCGUAGUUGAACCUUUGGCCUGGCUGGCAGGUCCGCCUCACCGCGUGCACUUGUCCGGCCGGGCCUUUUCUUCUGGAGAACCGCAUGCCCUUCACUGGGUGUGUUGGGGACCAGGACUUUUACUUUGAAAAAAUUAGAGUGUUCAAAGCAGGCCUUUGCUCGAAUACGUUAGCAUGGAAUAAUAGAAUAGGACGUGCGGUCCUAUUUUGUUGGUUUCUAGGACCGCCGUAAUGAUUAAUAGGGACAGUCGGGGGCAUCAGUAUUCAAUUGUCAGAGGUGAAAUUCUUGGAUUUAUUGAAGACUAACUACUGCGAAAGCAUUUGCCAAGGAUGUUUUCAUUAAUCAGUGAACGAAAGUUAGGGGAUCGAAGACGAUCAGAUACCGUCGUAGUCUUAACCAUAAACUAUGCCGACUAGGGAUCGGGCGGUGUUUCUAUUGUGACCCGCUCGGCACCUUACGAGAAAUCAAAGU